rnacentral:rRNA from 1 species
UACGUAGGGUGCGAGCGUUAAUCGGAAUUACUGGGCGUAAAGCGUGCGCAGGCGGUUUUGUAAGUCUGAUGUGAAUCCCCGGGCUCAACCUGGGAAUUGCAUUGGAGACUGCAAGGCUAGAAUCUGGCAGAGGGGGGUAGAAUUCCACGUGUAGCAGUGAAAUGCGUAGAUAUGUGGAGGAACACCGAUGGCGAAGGCAGCCCCCUGGGUCAAGAUUGACGCUCAUGCACGAA